rnacentral:rRNA from 1 species
GACGAACGCUGGCGGCGUGCUUAACACAUGCAAGUCGAACGGAAAGGCCCUUCGGGGUACUCGAGUGGCGAACGGGUGAGUAACACGUGGGUGAUCUGCCCUGCACUUUGGGAUAAGCCUGGGAAACUGGGUCUAAUACCGGAUAGGACCACGGCAUUCAUGUGCUGUGGUGGAAAGCUUUUGCGGUGUGGGAUGGGCCCGCGGCCUAUCAGCUUGUUGGUGGGGUAAUGGCCUACCAAGGCGACGACGGGUAGCCGGCCUGAGAGGGUGACCGGCCACAAUGGGACUGAGAUACGGCCCAGACUCCUACGGGAGGCAGCAGGGGGGAAUAUUGCACAAUGGGCGCAAGCCUGAUGCAGCGACGCCGCGUGAGGGAUGACGGCCUUCGGGUUGUAAACCUCUUUCGCCAGGGACGAAGCGCAAGUGACGGUACCUGGAGAAGAAGGACCGGCCAACUACGUG